UCCCGGCCCUCGUGAUCUCUGGGAGCGGAGGCUUCGGCCCUGGGGGGCUUGGCGGCCGUGGGACUCGAUGUGCUCAUCCCGGGGAGCCCAACAGGCCUUCGCAGGGAGCCUUAUAUGGGCUUUUAGCCCGAAUCACCCGCGAUUUGCCCGAGACAGACGUUCCUUCCCAGCCAAGGCCCAAGGAUUUCUCAUCCUGCCUCCCUUGAGGUUCUUAGGAGAGUUCCCAGCAUUGACUGAGAAAGCUCAAUCCCCGCUGCCCAACAUGAAUGACCCUGCCAAGAGAAGCUGGGGAUGAAGUGAUGGGCUCAGCUGGGAAGAAGGAUUAUUUAACCAUGCCUAUUUGCCACCAUCACCCUACUAGUGAAUCGUUGUCCGUGAAGAUUUCCUGGUGUAAACAGUCUUUGUUCAAGAAAGUUGCAAUAAA